ACUAGACAUUGAAUUUGCUGUCGAGAUGU
rnacentral:piRNA from 2 species